GAUAUUCAGUGCCCAGUUUAAAAACAAAUCUUUAUUUAUUAACCUACUUCUAAUUAGCCUAAUUGUAUUUGAACCCAGGUCUUGUAUGUUUCCUUCGCAGUUUCCCUGCAAUUGAAUUUUGUCUAUCCUGAGUUAAGUGUGAAACUUUAUAUUGCCUUUAAUUAGUGGGAAUGUGUAUAGCAUCCCCAAAAGCUUGACCAAUACUAUAUUGGAAGUUGGUGUCAUGCUUUGGGUACGUAUUUUAGUAAUACACCCAUUCAGUAUAGAUAGUUCCGACAUAAUUUCCCUCCAAAGCAUUGAAAUUAUUUAAUUUUACCUCAAUUUCUAUGACUGAUGGACACCGUAAAGGCUCUGAUUUGUCCGACAUGAUACUUUUAGAACUUUGCAAUAUGAUCAAAUACUUAGUGUAGCAUAGCUAAAACCACUGACAUUUUUUAAAAAUUUAGUUUUAAGUGUUUCUUUUUUAGUGCAACUGUUAAGGGAUUUUACCUGUAGAUCUUACAUUAGGAUUUCAAGCAGAAAAAAUAUCCUGAACAUACAGUCAUUGAUGUGGUGUUGUUGCUUAAAUGAGAAGUAUUAUGCAUGCUAUCAAUAUUAGAGUAUUAGAUCUAUUCUAUCAUAUAAGCCAGAGUGUCUCUUCUAAGACUGAACAGUUUCAGGGGGUUGAAGUUGCCCCUAGGAACAGACCUAUGAUCAGCCUAACUCCUCUAACUUUAAACAUUAGGGGCCAAGGCACAAAACUGACCUCAUAUCAGUGUCUAUGGGCAACUUUGUGCUUCUCCUUUUAGGGGUGCAGUAUGUAAAUAUAUGAUAACUGCUGUUAUAUUCCACUAGAGGGAGCAAGUGUUGCAAAAGUGGGGAGCACCAUUGAUAACACAUACCUCUUUUUAUAAACUAGCAAUUCAAAGGUUUUGAUACACAACUUGAGCUGAAUACUGUUAACGAGAAAUUAAUUCAAAUUCAAACUUUAAUUUUAAUUCUGGCGCUAACUUAGCUUUGCAGAAAC
ensembl:lncRNA